rnacentral:rRNA from 1 species
GCUCUUUUGUCAGGGAAGAAACACCGGCUCUAACACAGUCCGGGAAUGACGGUACCUGAAGAAUAAGCACCGGCUAACUACGUGCCAGCAGCCGCGGUAAUACGUAGGGUGCAAGCGUUAAUCGGAAUUACUGGGCGUAAAGCGUGCGCAGGCGGUUAUACAAGACAGGCGUGAAAUCCCCGGGCUUAACCUGGGAAUGGCGCCUGUGACUGUAUAGCUAGAGUGUGUCAGAGGGGGGUAGAAUUCCACGUGUAGCAGUGAAAUGCGUAGAUAUGUGGAGGAAUACCAAUGGCGAAGGCAGCCCCCUGGGAUAACACUGACGCUCAUGCACGAAAGCGUGGGGAGCAAACAGGAUUAGAUACCCUGGUAGUCCACGCCCU